rnacentral:rRNA from 1 species
AUGUCCACCACCAUCCUGCUCCCCGGCCUCUCCGACACAUACGCCCCCAACGUGCCUCUCCUCGUCGCGAACGACCAGCCGGUGCCCGACAUGCUGAAGCUCGUCGUGUGCUCUGACAACCUCGUCGCCGCGAUCGUCAAUGAUAACGAGGCGUUGACGUAUCGCAGCAAGCUUGCCUUGUGCCGGCCAGGAGCGUCCUCGUGGUGGUCCAGCACACCCGACGAGCUUCGCCACCUCCAAGACAUUGUCUCGUGCGGGGGAAAGCUCUACGCCCUCGACAAGUUCAACGGGCUCUUCUCCGUCUCCAUCGGCACGGGCAGGCGCACCGGCGAUCCGACCGUGUCACGGGUCGAGCACCUCAUGGGUAGCCCCCGUGGGGUCCUCAAACACUCGUCACAGUACCUGCUAGAAUCUAGCGGCACGUUGCUGUUGGUCUGCAGGGAGGACGUGAUGUUCGAGGGGUGCAGCAGCGGCUCGAUGAGUGCACUCAUGGACGGGCUGGAGCUGGAGCUGGAGCUGGAGUUCGAGGUACUCAAGGCGGACUUGAAGAGGUCUCGAUGGACGGACGUAAGGAGCGUGGGCGACGACCGGGUGCUGUUCGUCGGGCCAUGGUGCUCCCGGGCGGUUCACGUUAGUGGCGCAUGCGAGCAGGACUGUCUCUACAACGGGGACCGUAUCUUCUUCAUGGUGGAUGUUAGCGCGAAAAGAUACAAUCAUCGGUACUACGGCUACGGGGCACAACGGGAGCCCUUCUACUGCAUCGUCUACGACAUGAGGACGCAGCGGUCGGAGUUGUUCCUGGAGACGACGGCGCGCCCGUUAAAGGGCUUCCCGGUGACAUGGCUAUUCCCUCCAAGUCAAGGAUAG